UAUUUAUAUUUUUAAGAUAAUUAUUUCUAAAGUAUUUUCAUCUUAGCUCUUCUAUGAUAAUAUUUUUUUUUUUCUUUUAUCAUAUAAUUGUGUUACCACACAACAACGUGCAUGUGCUCAUUAAGCCCAAAUUGUGUGCAAAAUCUUACCCAUGUGGUUAUAAACAUAGCGGCUUUAUGUUCCUAACUUUUUAUUUGAUUAUUCAUGGUUUUGCUUAAAUCUA
rnacentral:lncRNA from 1 species